UUCCGGUUGAUCCUGCCGGACCUGACUGCUAUCGGAUUGAUACUAAGCCAUGCGAGUCUUUGUAGUAAUACAAGGCAUACGGCUCAGUAACGCGUAGUCAACCUACCCUAUGGACAAGAAUAAUCUCGGGAAACUGAGCAUAAUUCUUGAUAGAUCAUAAUGCCUGGAAUGGUUUAUGGUUAAAAUGAUUCGUCGCCAUAGGAUGGGACUGCGGCCUAUCAGCUUGUUGGUGAGGUAAUGGCCCACCAAGGCGAUAACAGGUACGGGCUCUGAGAGGAGAAGCCCGGAGAUGGGUACUGAGACAAGGACCCAGGCCCUAUGGGGCGCAGCAGGCGAGAAAACUUUGCAAUGUGCGAAAGCACGACAAGGUUAGUCCGAGUGAUUUCUGCUAAAGAGAUCUUUUGCUAGUUAUAAAACCACUAGUGAAUAAGGGGUGGGCAAGUUCUGGUGUCAGCCGCCGCGGUAAAACCAGCACCUCAAGUGGUCAGGAUGAUUAUUGGGCCUAAAGCAUCCGUAGCCGGCUCUGUAAGUUUUCGGUUAAAUCUAUGCGCUCAACGUAUGGGCUGCCGAAAAUACUGCAGAGAUAGGGAGUGGGAGAGGUAGACGGUACUCGGUAGGAAGGGGUAAAAUCCUUUGAUCUAUCGAUGACCACCUGUGGCGAAGGCGGUCUACCAGAACACGUUCGACGGUGAGGGAUGAAAGCUGGGGGAGCAAACCGGAUUAGAUACCCGGGUAGUCCCAGCCGUAAACGAUGCAGACUCGAUGAUGCAUUGGCAUAUAGCCAGUGCAGUGUCGCAGGGAAGCCGUUAAGUCUGCCGCCUGGGAAGUACGUACGCAAGUAUGAAACUUAAAGGAAUUGGCGGGGGAGCACCACAAGGGGUGAAGCCUGCGGUUCAAUUGGAUUCAACGCCGGG
rnacentral:rRNA from 1 species